UUCACUUCCCCUCCUAAAACCCCGGUAGCAAGCGCCAGCCGCCGUCUCCAGCCGGUUAUGAGUUAUGACUUAUUCGACGACAAGAAGAUUUCGAGGACCAGAGGUUAGACUUUCAUAAUGGACGCUCUUCUUGAGAUGAUUUUGAUCGAUUCUGGUCUUGGAACACGAAUCUAUCAGUCUCCUUCUUGAUCAGCUUCAUCCCGACCGAUCUUGUCGUCAUUCUCUGAUUCUCCUCAGCAUUGAAACCUACUACAAUCCCCCUUGCGGGAGCACCGGUUAGGCUGUACGCAUGACCAAUGCACAGUAGCAUUCUUACCUAUUCACGAAACAAGCACAAACAGCUUUGGUAGCUGAGAAGCUAUAUAUGAAAUUACAUGUUAUUGUGAGUUGGCAAAAAAUCUAUUCAAUCUCAAGUUGGGCAGACAGGAAGAAGAUGGGUCAUGGGAGUAAUGUUGCGGUUGGAGGAUAGGUUUCACUACUUGUACAAAGGAAAAGUUUUCUUCAACUACACGUUGUAUACAAUCGAGGAAGUGCCGCAUAUCUAUGUAAGGAUAUUUUGCUGAUGGCUGCAGAUGCUCGCCCAAUUCAGGUCAGGUGCUCUUGACUUCUUCUGCCCGUUUAAUUCGUUACAAUACAGAACCCAGGCAGAGAUUAAGAUAAGCACAGAGGGAGGGAGGGAAUUUGGGUGGGGGGAGGUUUUUGUUAACGAAUGAAGAAAACGGCUGCAGCGACAGUUACCAAUCUUUGGACAGAUGGUGGGUGAGAGAUUUCCCUCACUUUUUAAACAAGCAAUUUCUGCAAUUAGGAGGAAAGGCAUUGAUGUCUUGCAUGUAAAGGCUGGCUUUCAAGAAAAGAGACUGGUUAGUUGUUUUCCAUAGAGACUUUAACAUGCUUUAUCCGGCUAGUGAACCAAUCUGGAAUGACAAAUUUAAUUAAAAGCAAGUUAAUUAAUAUAAAUUAAUGUAAUAAUAUCAUAGUUGCUAAUUUGUAGUAAUCAGCGAAAAAGUAGUUAUUAACACAUUCUUUCUUGUGUAACAUCACCGUGUACUUUCUAACCGAUUUUGAGCUGCCAACAUGCAAGUUUAAA